AUAUUGCUGGCUUAUCUUGCCGGCUCGCCAAACAACAACCAAAUCCCUCUGAACUUCAUUAUCACCUCCUCCCAUUAACUCCAAUUUUUUAUUUUAUAUACCUUCCCAACACCCACUCUCAAAUUACGCUUACUCUUUCUGUUUAAUAAUAGUUAUAUACUUCAAAAGUAUAUAAUAGAAAAAGAUAUAAAGUUGUAAAAAAUUUCACAGAAAUCUAGAUAAUCGUGUCGUGCUUUUAUCUCCCAAAUCCCUCCAGAAUUUCUCAUGUGAAGAAAUCGGAGAAGAAGAAUCUGAAAAAAAACAGAGAGAGAAUGAAGGCUAAUAAUGCUAAGGUUAUAGUUUUUCAUCCAUCUCUUCACAAGCAAGGAUCAGGAACAAUUACUGCUUCACCUCGCAUUUGGUUUCUUGUUUUUCUUUCUUUUUUCACUUUUGCUUUUGCACUUACUUUCUUCACUGCUAAAGAUGCGAUACCCACUUCGAAAACUGGCACGGAUACCGCCGCCGGUAGCUCUCCG
rnacentral:misc_RNA from 1 species